UCCAGCGAUAGCACUGCUGGGUUUGUACCCCAAAUAGACAAUAAGUAAAAAGACCUGUACAAGAAUAUUCAUAGCUGCACUCUUUGUGGUGGCCAAAAAGUUGGAAAAUGAGGAGAUGCCCUUCAAUUGGGGAAUGGCUGAACAAAUUGUGGUAUAUGUUGGUGAUGGAAUACUAUUGUGCUAAAAGGAAUAAUAAAGUAGAGGAAUUCCAUGGAGACUGGAACAACCUCCAGGAAGUGAUGCAGAGCGAAAGGAGCAGAACCAGGAAAACAUUGUACACAGAGACUGAUACACUGUGGUACAAUCGAAGGACAGCAUUUUCCUGACUCAGCUUCUCUUGUCCUGAUACAGCUUCCAUCCCACACACAAACCCUACACACAACUUCCUUGGCUCCAGAUUCCCCAGGCUUCUAAGGUAAAGCUUCCUGCUUUCAUGAAACCUUAGUGUUCUUAGCUUUUCUGAUGCAGCUUCUUAGCCUACAGCCAAUAAGAAAUUCAAGCCAUGAUGGAUUAUUUGUCUCUCAGACUUGACAGGGCUCAGGAUCAUAAACUGACUGACCAGGCUCGUUUUCAAAUGAGGAGGUGAUGGAACUAAGUGCCACUCUAUGCUUGUUGGAUAUCCUUUUUGUGUUGGAGCACAGAAAACUUUAUAAAUGCCUCAUCUUGUCCAACCAUGGAAGCUGAAGCAAGGGAUAUAUAGCCACACUUACAACAUCUAAGGAUUAUUGGUCAAAUCCUGGGACAAGAAACUAUAUAGCCUUGUUUACAGUCUUUGUUGUACAGGAAUUUCAUUUUAUGAGAAAUCACUCACCAUUGCUAGAGCUCUAGAGAAGUCUUGAAAAUCACAGUCUACUGAAAUUUGUUUCAUAACAAUAUUCAUUAUGAAAGACUAAAUCCUGUAAUUAUUUAUUUGAUGGAAUUUUGGACAUUAUUUCUGCCAGUGUAUGAGAGGUAUUUACCAACCCCCAUCAUUCACCAGCAACAUUUAUGUAGUUUUUGUUUAACUUUUAAAAAGGUAUGAAGAUGUGUCUGUCCACGGCAAUUUUGCUGGAAAUUAAAAUCACAAGACUGCCUGAGAAAUAAGGUGGGGAGUCUUAGGAGCACUGCCAAUACCCUGAAACAGCAACCUGGUCUUUGGGGUUGCUGUUUGUGUUUAGACCACCAUUUGUGUAUGAAGAAAAAUCAGAAGGAAAGAAAAAAUUAAUGACAUUCUCCUCUUAAAAUCAUAAUAUAUGUUUAAAAAGUACAGGAGUAUGUGCAUUAAUUUUUUUUAAGACUUUUGCCUAAUGGUCCCCCAGGGCCAUUGUUUUCAAGAUAACAAUUUUUCUUAAAAGUAAAAGGGGGCAAAAUGCCAAACCCUAUAUGAAACUUGAGCUGCCAGCAACCUAAUAGUUUGGUCCAGCUCUAAAUCAUGACUAGAUCUAUCAGCAAAAUAUUUCACAGGUUAAACUAAUAGAAAUAUCAGCCUUUGGUUCCUGGCUUGUAUGCGGCAUGUAGUUAUGGAGCUUUAGGAACCUGAGAGUGUACAGACUCAUAUGCCAAGAUUUUUAUACUAAAUGCUUUACUUGAUCAUAUGCUCAUUUUUGUUGUUUGACUCUUGUUGACAUUUUUGUUUAUUUGCUUUAAAACCAAGUAAUUAAGAAAAAAAAAAACAAAAUAGUGUAAGCCAAGUACAGCAUCCUAGCUUUUUUUUCCCUUCACAUUGCCCUCUCCUGUUCUUAUUCUUAUUCUUAAGCUGUGUAAAUCUCUUCUAAUUUCCUAUUAAAAUAGGCAUGGUAUUUAGGAAGCUGGCUUCAAAACCAAGACCUGGGUUCAAGAUCUGCCUCUAACAACUAUUUUUUUUCAAAUAUUAAAUUCUAAUUAAUGAUAUUACAUGUAAGGAGAAAGAAUGAUUUAAAAGGAAAUAAUACCAGUACCAGCUCAUAUAAACUACUUUCUUAAGCAUCUUUUUGUUCCUUCCUAUCUUCAUCCCAUUGUGAGGGAAAACUUACCAAUGAAGGUUCUGUCUUCAUGCGCAUAAAUAGUUUCUUAUGUCUGAUGCAAUUCCUCACAUGAACAUCUAGUGAGCUCUCUAGAGACUUGAGUUUAAAAAAAUAAAGUGAGUAGGAGUUUCGAUAUGGACCCCCA
ensembl:lncRNA